UACGUAGGGUGCGAGCGUUAAUCGGAAUUACUGGGCGUAAAGCGUGCGCAGGCGGUUAUUUAAGUCAGGUGUGAAAGCUCUGGGCUUAACCUAGGAAUUGCGCUUGAGACUGGAUAGCUUGGAGUGCGGCAGAGGGAGGUGGAAUUCCACGUGUAGCAGUGAAAUGCGUAGAGAUGUGGAGGAACACCGAUGGCGAAGGCAGCCUCCUGGGCCAGCACUGACGCUCAUGCACGAAAGCGUGGGGAGCAAACAGG
rnacentral:rRNA from 1 species